CAUGUUGUGCUCUGCAUGUGUGUGCAUCUGUCUAGGAAAAACUGAAUUCUGUCUUUCACACACACACACACACACACACACACACACACACACACAC
rnacentral:miRNA from 1 species